GGGGGCGAUUUUUGGGCUCGACGGGGGUCAGGUCGCUCCUAGAAAUCAUGCCGUUUUCCCGCGUUAAGGGAUCUAAAAAAUAAGUGCCAACGAAGAACUCGCUCUCGCAGCAUAAUGCUUGCGAGCCUCAACUUACUGAUCGCCCUUCUAGGUAAGUUGAGGUCGGGUAGAAGGGCUAGGACACUUCAACACCUCUAGAAGUGUCCGAAAUUAAAGAGGUGUAGGACAUACAAGAGGUGCCCAUCCCUUGAGUAUGUCCGAAACGAAAAGAUGGGCUAAGCAUGUAGAAAUUUCUAGGUGUGAUGACCUCCGGACAGGGGUUCAAUUCCCCUCGCCUCCAAUU
rnacentral:tmRNA from 1 species